AAAAAAAUCAGAGUGAAGAUGCAACUGGUUGGACUAGAGGCGGAUCUUGUGGCCAGACGCAGAGUGACAAUUGGAAUAAAUCAAAGACCUUUGGUACUGAUGGAGGAUCUUGUAAUAAGCAAGAGGGAGAAUCUGCUUGGGGUAAACCAGAUGGAGGGCCAUCUUGGAAUAAGCAAGAUGGAUCCUCUUGGGGCAAAUCAGAGGGAGUGUCUUCUUGGAGUAAGCAAGAUGGAGGUUCUUCCGGAAACCAGGAUAGAUUUCAAGAAUUUGGCGGUUGGAACAAGACAUUUGAUGGAGGUCGUGGAUCAGGUGGAAGAAGAGGAGGUGGUAGGGGAGGUAGAGGUCAAUUUGGCAGAGGAAGAAGACCAUUUGGAGAAGAUCAGUCUUCAGGUUGGAAGAAAGGAGGUGAAGGAAGCAAUUGGACAGG
rnacentral:misc_RNA from 1 species